rnacentral:rRNA from 1 species
AUUGAACGCUGGCGGCAGGCCUAACACAUGCAAGUAGAGCGAGAGGCGGACGGGGGAGUAAUGUAUGGGGAUCUGCCCGAUGGAGGGGGAUAACUACUGGAAAAGGUAGCUAAUACCGCAUACUAUCGGAUGAACCCAGAUGGGAUGAGCUAGUUGGUGGGGUAAAGGAGCACAAAGGCAAAGAUCCCUAUCGGGUUUGAGAGUACGACCAGCCACACUGGUACUGAGACACGGCCCAGACUCCUACGGGAGGCAUCAGUGGGGAAUUUUGGACAAUGGGUGAAACCCUGAUCCAGCCAUCCCGCGUGUAUGAUGAAGGCCUUCGGGUUGUAAAGUACUUUUGGCAGAGAAGCGGUAUCUGCAGAAUAAGCACCGGCUAACUACGUGCCAGCAGCCGCGGUAAUUC